UACAGGGGGUGCAAACGUUGCUCGGAAUUAUUGGGCGUAAAGCGCGCGUAGGCGGCUACCUAAGUCGGAUGUGAAAUCCCUCGGCUUAACCGGGGAACUGCGUCUGAUACUGGAUGGCUUGAGUUUGGGAGAGGGAUGCGGAAUUCCAGGUGUAGCGGUGAAAUGCGUAGAUAUCUGGAGGAACACCGGUGGCGAAGGCGGCAUCCUGGACCAACACUGACGCUGAGUGAGCGAAAGCCAGGGGAGCAAACGGG
rnacentral:rRNA from 1 species